AAGACUUAUCUUUUAAAAUGUUUUCUUUUGUUCCAGAUGUUUUUCGAAACUGAGUCAACCCGCUGUGAGUGAAUGUCCCAUUGCUGAUGAGCCUGGGAUUGAUCUGACCUACCUGACUCUGAGCCAUUCUCCUCCACAGGCCCCUCCUUGCACAAAGGUCAAAGAGGAGGAGGUGACAUAUUCUACGGUCAAUACUCUGGGGAAGAAAGAAGCCGACGACGUUCCCAGCAGCCUCCGACGUGUCAGAAAACCCAAAUAAGUUCAUACACCCUGGUGUCAGGGUGCUUUGGCCUCUUAGCGCCUUCAGCUUCCUGAUCAAACAUUGUCUGC